rnacentral:tRNA from 1 species
GCCGAUGUAGCUCAGUUGGUAGAGCGGCGCAUUCGUAAUGCGUAGGUCGCUGGUUCGAAUCCGGUCAUCGGCACCA